UGCGCUUUUGUCUGUAUUACUGGCUUCACUUUUAUGGCUAUAGAAGUGCUUCCUCCAAAGGACUUCUCCUCUGUCCCCUAGCCAGUCACCGAGCCUGGCUGCUUUCAUCUUCAGAAUGUCUCCGGGAAGUGGUGCCUGCUUCUCAUCCUCACUGUCACCGCUGCCACGUCUCUGUCCUAGACUCCCACAGAGCGUCCCCACGGGGCUCCUGUCCUCCAAUCUCGCACCUUCCUGUGCACACUCCAAGCUCCAGAUCCUAUUCGGUGACUGCUGGGGAGGGCCAAGGAGGGUGUGGUGAGAAGCAGGGAGCCAGAGGACAUGCUGUGGGCACGGAUGUCCUGCUGCAUUUCUGCAAAGCAGUGAAGGCUCAGGCUGCAUGACGGGUCAGGCGGACGGGUCACAGGGAGCAUCAGGCCUGAGCAUCUGAGGAGCAGGACAUCCUGUAGGUGGAAUGCCAAGGACAACUUUCUCCCACUGGCAAUUUCUUCCCCAAGGAACACUCAGCAUCAGCAAAUCGCUGCCCUCAGGAAAGAGUUUCUGUGUGUCACGGGGAGCAAAAACAGUACAGAGAAUGGGAUGAAGGGGAGGCGUCCCAUGAAGAACAGCGGAUGCCAGAUGGACUCCUGCCCGCGGCGCCGAGCAGCUCCUCUUUGGAAAUAAUGAAGAUGAACGCUCCCUCCGCGGGCAGCACACCAACCCCUCUGCGGCAGGAGAGCCUCGCUCAGUCCCCAGGAACUUCCCGAGACCGAGGAAGGAGAAAAACCAGGCAGCACAGUCUCCACGGGGAGCAGGCCUGGAGGCCGGAUGCUGCAGGCACUGGGCAUGGGGCGUGGGUCCUUGUCAAGCCAAAGGAAUGGUCAGACCAAAGGGUUUCUGCUCUGGAAGGAGGUCCCCUCUAAGCCCCUCUGCAAGCACGUGAGCCUAGAGACCUCGGGGCACACCCAGCGUUGGGUUAGUUGGGGCACAGCUGGCAAAGAAGUCAGUCCUCCGGGGUCCCCGCCCAGAGCUUUCUGUUCUGGAGGAUGGGGUGAGACGAGGCCGGGGACCUUCAGGCUGUGGGGCCUCGGCCAGGAUGGGGAUGCCUAAGGAGGACCUGAUGGGUCUGCAGUGGGGCCAGGGAAGCAGCUCGUGGCCAAUUUCACAGACAGCAGGAGGCUCUGCCUGAAUACAAAGCCCAGGAUUUAGAUGCACGUGCCUGACGGCCCAGGCACUCCGGCAACCGGCUUAUGGGAGCACCCACAGGAGAUGGAUCCUCUGCAAGCAGGCCACCUGGGGAGGGUGGGGAGGGCCCUGCACAGCACAGUAGUGCCUCCGGGAGACACACCCAUUUUCCUCCUUUCCGUUACCCUGGGCUAAUAAGUCAUUUGGUGGUUCUCUACCAAGUGAUAGCUUUGUUAAUCCUUUCAGGAGAUAAAGGGAUUAAAUAUU